CACUAUCGUUAACUGAAUACAUAGGUUAACGAGGCGAACCGGGGGAACUGAAACAUCUAAGUACCCCGAGGAAAAGAAAUCAACCGAGAUUCCCCCAGUAGCGGCGAGCGAACGGGGAGCAGCCCAGAGUCUGAAUCAGCUUGUGUGUUAGUGGAACGGUCUGGAAAGUCCGACGGUACAGGGUGAUAGUCCCGUACACCAAAAUGCACAGGUUGUGAACUCGAAGAGUAGGGCGGGACACGUGGUAUCCUGUCUGAAUAUGGGGGGACCAUCCUCCAAGGCUAAAUACUCCUGACUGACCGAUAGUGAACCAGUACCGUGAGGGAAAGGCGAAAAGAACCCCGGCGAGGGGAGUGAAAAAGAACCUGAAACCGUGUACGUACAAGCAGUGGGAGCACCUUCGGGUGUGACUGCGUACCUUUUGUAUAAUGGGUCAGCGACUUAUAUUCUGUAGCAAGGUUAACCGUAUAGGGGAGCCGCAGGGAAACCGAGUCUUAACUGGGCGUUAAGUUGCAGGGUAUAGACCCGAAACCCGGUGAUCUAGCCAUGGGCAGGUUGAAGGUUGGGUAACACUAACUGGAGGACCGAACCGACUAAUGUUGAAAAAUUAGCGGAUGACUUGUGGCUGGGGGUGAAAGGCCAAUCAAACCGGGAGAUAGCUGGUUCUCCCCGAAAGCUAUUUAGGUAGCGCCUCGUGAAUUCAUCUUCGGGGGUAGAGCACUGUUUCGGCUAGGGGGUCAUCCCGACUUACCAACCCGAUGCAAACUACGAAUACCGAAGAAUGUUAUCACGGGAGACACACGGCGGGUGCUAACGUCCGUCGUGAAGAGGGAAACAACCCAGACCGCCAGCUAAGGUCCCAAAGUCAUGGUUAAGUGGGAAACGAUGUGGGAAGGCACAGACAGCCAGGAUGUUGGCUUAGAAGCAGCCAUCAUUUAAAGAAAGCGUAAUAGCUCACUGGUCGAGUCGGCCUGCGCGGAAGAUGUAACGGGGCUAAACCAUGCACCGAAGCUGCGGCAGCGACACUAUGUGUUGUUGGGUAGGGGAGCGUUCUGUAAGCCUGCGAAGGUGACCUGUGAGGGUUGCUGGAGGUAUCAGAAGUGCGAAUGCUGACAUAAGUAACGAUAAAGCGGGUGAAAAGCCCGCUCGCCGGAAGACCAAGGGUUCCUGUCCAACGUUAAUCGGGGCAGGGUGAGUCGACCCCUAAGGCGAGGCCGAAAGGCGUAGUCGAUGGGAAACAGGUUAAUAUUCCUGUACUUGGUGUUACUGCGAAGGGGGGACGGAGAAGGCUAUGUUAGCCGGGCGACGGUUGUCCCGGUUUAAGCAUGUAGGCUGGUUAUCCAGGCAAAUCCGGAUAAUCAAGGCUGAGGUGUGAUGACGAGGUACUACGGUGCUGAAGUAACAAAUGCCCUGCUUCCAGGAAAAGCCUCUAAGCAUCAGGUAACAUCAAAUCGUACCCCAAACCGACACAGGUGGUCAGGUAGAGAAUACCAAGGCGCUUGAGAGAACUCGGGUGAAGGAACUAGGCAAAAUGGUGCCGUAACUUCGGGAGAAGGCACGCUGGUGUGUAGGUGAAGUCCCUGCGGAUGGAGCUGAGACCAGUCGAAGAUACCAGCUGGCUGCAACUGUUUAUUAAAAACACAGCACUGUGCAAACACGAAAGUGGACGUAUACGGUGUGACGCCUGCCCGGUGCCGGAAGGUUAAUUGAUGGGGUUAUCCGUAAGGAGAAGCUCUUGAUCGAAGCCCCGGUAAACGGCGGCCGUAACUAUAACGGUCCUAAGGUAGCGAAAUUCCUUGUCGGGUAAGUUCCGACCUGCACGAAUGGCGUAAUGAUGGCCAGGCUGUCUCCACCCGAGACUCAGUGAAAUUGAACUCGCUGUGAAGAUGCAGUGUACCCGCGGCAAGACGGAAAGACCCCGUGAACCUUUACUAUAGCUUGACACUGAACAUUGAGCCUUGAUGUGUAGGAUAGGUGGGAGGCUUUGAAGCGUGGACGCCAGUCUGCGUGGAGCCAACCUUGAAAUACCACCCUUUAAUGUUUGAUGUUCUAACGUUGGCCCCUUAUCGGGGUUGCGGACAGUGUCUGGUGGGUAGUUUGACUGGGGCGGUCUCCUCCCAAAGCGUAACGGAGGAGCACGAAGGUUAGCUAAUCCUGGUCGGACAUCAGGAGGUUAGUGCAAUGGCAUAAGCUAGCUUGACUGCGAGCGUGACGGCGCGAGCAGGUGCGAAAGCAGGUCAUAGUGAUCCGGUGGUUCUGAAUGGAAGGGCCAUCGCUCAACGGAUAAAAGGUACUCCGGGGAUAACAGGCUGAUACCGCCCAAGAGUUCAUAUCGACGGCGGUGUUUGGCACCUCGAUGUCGGCUCAUCACAUCCUGGGGCUGAAGUAGGUCCCAAGGGUAUGGCUGUUCGCCAUUUAAAGUGGUACGCGAGCUGGGUUUAGAACGUCGUGAGACAGUUCGGUCCCUAUCUGCCGUGGGCGCUGGAGAAUUGAGGGGGGCUGCUCCUAGUACGAGAGGACCGGAGUGGACGCAUCACUGGUGUUCGGGUUGUCAUGCCAAUGGCACUGCCCGGUAGCUAAAUGCGGAAGAGAUAAGUGCUGAAAGCAUCUAAGCACGAAACUUGCCCCGAGAUGAGUUCUCCCUGAGACUUUAAGUCUCCUGAAGGAACGUUGAAGACGACGACGUUGAUAGGCCGGGUGUGUAAGCGCAGCGAUGCGUUGAGCUAACCGGUACUAAUGAACCGUGAGGCUUAACCUU
rnacentral:rRNA from 1 species